rnacentral:rRNA from 1 species
UACGUAGGGGGCUAGCGUUAUCCGGAAUUACUGGGCGUAAAGGGUGCGUAGGUGGUUUCUUAAGUCAGAGGUGAAAGGCUGCGGCUCAACCGUAGUAAGCCUUUGAAACUGGGAAACUUGAGUGCAGGAGAGGAGAGUGGAAUUCCUAGUGUAGCGGUGAAAUGCGUAGAUAUUAGGAGGAACACCAGUUGCGAAGGCGGCUCUCUGGACUGUAACUGACACUGAGGCACGAAAGCGUGGGGAGCAAACAGG